GAGCCCAAGAUUGAAAGCUGGCGUCUUCGGCGUCCGCAUUGUAAUCUCAAGAAGUGUUUUCCGCUUCGGACCAAGCCUAAGUCCCCUGGAAAGGGGCAUCAUAGAGGGUGAUAAUCCCGUACAUGGCUUGGAGCGCCCGAGGCUUUGUGAUACGCUUUCUAAGAGUCGAGUUGUUUGGGAAUGCAGCUCAAAAUGGGUGGUAAAUGCCAUCUAAGGCUAAAUAUUGGGGAGAGACCGAUAGCGAACAAGUACAGUGAUGGAAAGAUGAAAAGAACUUUGAAAAGAGAGUUAAACAGUACGUGAAAUUGCCAAAAGGGAAGGGUAGGAGGUCAGAGAUGCGGCCUGGGAUUCAGCCUUGCUUUUGCUUGGUGUUUUUCCCAGAUUGCAGGCCAACGUCGGUUUUGGGCACUGGAGAAGGGUAGGAGCAACGUGGCACCCCUCGGGGUGUGUUAUAGCCUCCUACUGGAUACAGCGACCGAGACCGAGGACAGCAGCGUACUCGCAAGAGCGGGCCUUCGGGCACCUUUACGCUUAGGGCGUUGGCAUAAUGGCCGUCUACCACCCGUCUUGA
rnacentral:rRNA from 1 species